UCGAAAUCCGCUGCACUCCAGUUUGCAUUUGUGAAAGAAGGCUGCAGAACUCGAAGGGAGGAAAAAUGCAGAUCCUGAAAAGCGGGAAGGGAGGUUUCUCUCUCUCUCUUUCUCUCUUUUCCCCCCUCUUCUCCCAAAGACUAAAGGAGGAUUAAUGUAAGAUCUGAACCUGAUCCUGUUCCGUCGCCCCAGUGUUCAGACUACCUGUUCAGGACAAUGCAGUUGUACAGUAGUCUGCACAUUGGUUAGACUGGGCAAGGGAACGCAACGGCAUGGACACCCCCCCGAGACGGCCAAGCGGAAGACCGAGGGGACUCCUUACAGAUCUCAUAUACCAGUAUUUUCCUUCACAGGUUUGGCAAGCUAGGGAAUAGGGGACCCUGCCCAGGGGCAAUGGAAAAAAAAAGAGGACUUCUGAGUAAUGCAAGGAAGAUGUUCUGGUAAGGCCUCUGAAUUUGGGACGAGCUUCCGGCCUAUGUCCUGGAAAUAGGCGAAGCUCCUGACCUUGUUCUAAGCAGGCAGGACAAGGUGGGCUAACACACGCGCCAGAGAAAAAUCAAAGGUAUCGCUCGGUCCAAUUGGUCGCAUGCUGCAAGCCACUGUUGCCGUUGCCCCUGUUGUAUUGAAAACGGAAAGCAAUUCUUCGCGUUUAAAAGAAUAAAACUCAACAGACUGCACAAAUAUCUUGGUCCUCCUCCAACCUACUCAUGCACCCUGCCAGCAUUUUUCAAAUAUGAUUUUCAAAAAAUUAACAAAGGUUAGUCUAUCAGGCUUAUAAAAAGUGUGUGUGUGGAGGGGGAGGGGGGAGGGGAGGAGAAACAAUACCAGUACAUUUUUAUGUUCCCUACAGCAUCUUGCAUAAAUCCUCAAAAUUCUGUUUGUGCUGUAUUUGGCAAAGAUUUUACUUACAAAAAAAAAAACACACCACCUCUAUGCAAAAAAGAGAGACAAGGGUCCCAAACAACGCAACACAAAUGUACUCACUGCAAACUUUUUGAUCAACAAUUAUCAGUUGGAUCAUUAAGUAUGCCUUUGCUAAAUCUGUCAUCUAUAGAAGCAUUUUUCCCCAUAACCCCCUCCUUUUCUCAGGAGCAUGUUAUUACCACCAAUACCUUUUUCUACAGCACAGAAGCAUUUGCAAAAGAUGUGCCAGAAUUAAAGAAACAAAUAUAGUUUCAACAGAAUCUUGCUGAGUAGGUCAUGAUCAGUGACAGUUAUCAUAAAAUUGAAAAUCUGCUGCGGUAACGAAUAAGUUUGAUAUCGUUUAGAUGUUAAUAGCCUCUUCCAAGAUUGAAGCAAUUGGACUAAUGACAUUCUAACAAUGUGCUAUUCAGCGUCUUCAGAAUUAAUAGUUGUUCUUCCGAGCAGAAUGUUCAAUCAAUCCAUUUUAACAGUCUAACGAGAUAUAGAAAUAUAUUUUGAAAGCAAAGCGCAAAACUAUUGUUUCCCGCGUAAGGAAAAGAGCCAUUCGACAACAUUUAAGCAUCUCAAAGGAAGCGCUCAAAGCUUUUAGUUUACCCAGGUUCUUUGUUGGUAAGUAUUACCUGUCUGCUUGCUUUUAAGAUAAAAAAUGGCACCCGUCCACCUUAGCUACAAACAAAAGCCUUUGUACAGAAUAUUUAUAUUGUUCCACAAGUAAUAUGUAAUAGCAACUCCCAUACCUCUCUCCCGCCUGUCCCUAGAAAGUAAACACUAAUUUACUGUAUAUUUCUCAGUCAUCACUGUCUAACUUGUUUGUGCAUUUCUGGUAUGUAAGUCUCAUAUUUAACUGAGCUGUGACAUUACAGUCAGGACAGGUAUUCCUCCCAUCUCUUUCAUGUGUAGCUUAUAUUGUCAGAAGAACGUAAAGUAAGAAUAGUUGUACUCACUGCAAACUUUUUGAUCAACAAUUAACAGUUGGAUCAUUAAGGAAAUUGCUCCAUGCAGGCCCAUUCACAAUAAUAAGCACGAACACUACACCGAUACAUUGCAAUAUCCUAGGCCUCUGGGUGAGGCUCAAAGUGUAAUGAAAGGCCAACAACCAGCUAAAGAACUGGCAACUGUGAUAUCAAACACAAUUUAAAUAAUAAUAAUAAUAAUAAUAAUAAUAAUAAUAAUAAUAAUAAUAAUAAUAAUAAUAAUAAUAAUAAUAAUAAUAAUAAUAAUAAUAAUAAUAAUUUUAAGCAUGCAUAUUUGGGGCCUUUACUUUCUUAGCUAGAAAAUGUGUCAACACAUGCCUUCAUUUUGAAACCUGGUAUUUCAUUGCUUGCAAGAGCCAAACGAUGCCAUCGCAAGGGAUUACUUUGAACGCUAACUUUGAAUAUGACCAGUUUUAUGAACUGCCUUGACUUUUAGGACAUGUUACUGUGUCACCUCUCAUCUUGUAUAUCUGGAAGGAAAAUAAAUGAUCACGUUAAAAAAAAUGUUUUCUGGAUAAAGCAAAAUGUCUUCUUUGUUUGACAGCAUGCUAAGGUAUUAAAGUUUCCUGUGCAAAUCUCUCUCCUUUCCCGCCUCCCCCACCCCGUGCAACGAAGUCCUGUAAAACAAAGAGCAGAGAGCCCCAAGCGGGAGCCACGGGGCUGGCUGGACAGAGUUGUCAUGUGUCUGCCUGUCUACACUUGCUGUGCAGAACAUCCUCUCACCUGUACAGCAGGCACAGACAGGCAGUCACAUGACAACCCAGCCUGAGAGACGGCCAGCCAAUGAGAGAACAGCUCUGAGUAGAGCGCCUUCACCUUCCGGAUCUCAGUUUCUUGGUUCAAGGACUUCAUCCAUGUGUACGGUUCACCACUCGUUUGUAUGACCGGUCGAAACCAACCCAGAGGCGAACGGUUCCGACAAAAUGCAAUAAAACCCACUGCUGAAA